GACGAACGCUGGCGGCGUGCUUAACACAUGCAAGUCGAACGGAAAGGCCCCUUUGGGGGUCCUCGAGUGGCGAACGGGUGAGUAACACGUGAGUAACCUGCCCUUGACUUCGGGAUAACUUCAGGAAACUGGGGCUAAUACCGGAUAGGAAUCCUUGCUGCAUGGUGGGGGUUGGAAAGCUUCGGCGGUUUUGGAUGGACUCGCGGCUUAUCAGCUUGUUGGUGGGGUAGUGGCUUACCAAGGCUUUGACGGGUAGCCGGCCUGAGAGGGCGACCGGCCACAUUGGGACUGAGGUACGGCCCAGACUCCUACGGGAGGCAGCAGUGGGGAAUAUUGCACAAUGGGCGGAAGCCUGAUGCAGCAACGCCGCGGGCGGGAUGACGGCCUUCGGGUUGUAAACCGCUUUCAGCAGGGGCGAAGCUUGUGGUGACGGUACCUGCAGAAGAAGCACCGGCUAACUACGUG
rnacentral:rRNA from 1 species